rnacentral:rRNA from 1 species
GAUGAACGCUGGCGGCGUGCCUAAUACAUGCAAGUCGAGCGAACAGACGAGGAGCUUGCUCCUCUGACGUUAGCGGCGGACGGGUGAGUAACACGUGGAUAACCUACCUAUAAGACUGGGAUAACUUCGGGAAACCGGAGCUAAUACCGGAUAAUAUAUUGAACCGCAUGGUUCAAUAGUGAAAGACGGUUUUGCUGUCACUUAUAGAUGGAUCCGCGCCGCAUUAGCUAGUUGGUAAGGUAACGGCUUACCAAGGCAACGAUGCGUAGCCGACCUGAGAGGGUGAUCGGCCACACUGGAACUGGAACACGGUCCUGACUCCUACGGGAGGCAGCAGUAGGGAAUCUUCCGCAAUGGGCGAAAGCUUGACGGAGCAACGCCGCGUGAGUGAUGAAGGUCUUCGGAUCGUAAAACUCUGUUAUUAGGGAAGAACAAAUGUGUAAGUAACUAUGCACGUCUUGACGGUACCUAAUCAGAAAGCCACGGCUAACUACGUG